CUUGUGCAUUCUUAACCCCAAAGGGCAUAACUUUGCAUUUCUCUACGUUAAAUUUAAUCUGCCAUUUUAGUGCCCAGUCCCCCAAUCUAUCCAAAUCCCUCUGCAGCAAGGCAAUAUCCUGCUCACAUUUUAUUACUUUACCAAGUUUUGUGUCAUCUGCAAACACUGAAACAUGGCUUUCAAUGCCUAUUUCAAGAUCAUUUAUAAAUAUGUUAAAUAGAAGCAGUCCCAAAACAGAACCCUGAGGGACACCACUUACCACUUUUGCCCCGCUUGAAAAUUUACCAUUAAUGACAACUCAUUGUACUCUAUCC
rnacentral:lncRNA from 1 species